GAUGAACGCUGGCGGCGUGCCUAAUACAUGCAAGUCGAGCGAACGGACGAGAAGCUUGCUUCUCUGAUGUUAGCGGCGGACGGGUGAGUAACACGUGGAUAACCUACCUAUAAGACUGGGAUAACUUCGGGAAACCGGAGCUAAUACCGGAUGAUAUUUUGAACCGCAUGGUUCAAAAGUGAAAGACGGUCUUGCUGUCACUUAUAGAUGGAUCCGCGCUGCAUUAGCUAGUUGGUAAGGUAACGGCUUACCAAGGCAACGAUGCAUAGCCGACCUGAGAGGGUGAUCGGCGACACUGGAACUUAGACACGGUCCAGAGUACUACGGGAGGCAGCAGUAGGGAACCGGCCGCAAUAGGCGAAAGCCUGACGGAGCGACGCCGCGUGAGUGAUGAAGGUCUUCGGAUCGUAAUACUCUGUUAUUAGGGAAGAACAUAUGUGUAAGUAACUGUGCACAUCUUGACGGUACCUAAUCAGAAAGCCACGGCUAACUACGUG
rnacentral:rRNA from 1 species